UUCAUACGUGGUACAACUCUGUCCUGCUGAGUACUAGAAGUUUUUUUGUUGACUUUUUUCCAGUUGAGGCUUGUGUGUUUUCACUGGUCUUCCACAGAAGUCUUGUCAUUUACAGAGGACACAAAUGUGCCACAGCCACCACUGCUGCGACUGCCUCUGGGUUCUCGUCGAGGAGGCUUGAAGCACAUCCUGAACACACAAACACACUGAGCCCUAUCGACGUACGAGGAGCCACAAAUCCAGCUGGAGGUGAUUUGGGUGAAAAAAACAAAACUCUGAUGAAUCACAGGUGGCGGGGAAGUGGAGAUGACAGUAAAUGGAGGGGAUGAAAGAGAGUUGUCAAGUCUGUGACACAUGCGACGCAACAGCAGCCAAAAAAACAUUUUAACUCCGUGCCAGUGAGUUCCAUACUGACGACGUGACGCUGCCAACAUUCACAAUCCACAUCACCACGGCUGCAUUCAUGCUUUAUUGACGUAUACACGUCUACUGUAUAUGAGAUCUGCACAUUACAUGUCAUUUUAAUAAGACGUGUUGUGUUCA